AAUGAACGCUGGCGGCAUGCCUAACACAUGCAAGUCGAGCGAAUGAAGGGGGCUUGCUCCCGGAUUCAGUGGCGGCCGGGUGAGUAAUGCCUAGGAAUCUGCCUUGUCUUGGGGGAUAACGUCCGGAAACGGGCGCUAAUAUCGCAUCCGAACUGAGGUAGAAAGUGGGGGGUCUUCGGUCCUCACGGUAUCAGAUGAGCCUAUGUCGGUUUAGAUAGUUGGUGGGGUAAAUGCCUACCGAGGCGACUAGCCGUAACUGGUCUGAGAGGAUGAUCAGUCACACUGGAACUGAGACACGGUCCAGACUCCGACGGGAGGAAACAGUGGGGAAUAUUGGGCGAUGGGCGAAAGCCUAAUACAGCAAUGCCGCGUGUGUGAAGAAGGUCUUCGGAUGGUAGAGCACUGUAAGUUGGGAGGAAGGAAAGUAAGUUUAUACCUGACUGUAUUGACGGUACCAACAGAAUAAGCACCGGCUAACUUCGUG
rnacentral:rRNA from 1 species